CAGUCUCACUCAGAUGGUAGGGCUGGACCUGCAUAAGAAGCAGGCCAUUUUGGGAGUAGGGAGAAAGGUGUCCUUCUGCAGCUUCUUUCUGCUCACCUUGCCAUUCACACAAACAACAGUAGAGUAGAGUAGUUGAGUAGAGUAGUUGAGUAGAGCUACUGCCAUCUUGUCUUUUCUUUCUUUUUAAAGAUUAAAGCUGUUUACCUUAGCAGCCAUCGCAUACUUCCAGUGGUACAGUGAAUAUUGACAGAGAAAUAUACAUUUCUCGAAGAAGUGAAAUACUUGUGGACAUAUCUACGUUCAGAGCUGCAAGUUAAACAAAACAAAAAACAAAAAAAUAGGAUUCUGGUCUGCAGCGCCACUGACUCAGACAGAGACACUCAGUGGCACCUUGCCCAGUUGCAGAGGUCUGUAGGACUGGUGUCAAACGCAGUAAGGAGAAGGGAUCGAUAUACAGCACAUCAUAAUUUAAUGACCCAGGCUCUCAAGAUCAACCUUCUUUUGUUCUCCGGUUUGUUUUAAUGCUUCACUAUUGUUGCACUCACAAGGUACUACAAUUUUUGAUACUGUAUGUUUUGAAAGCUUUCGCUCAUCCAGGGAGGCUGUUGAUGGGUUUGGAAGUGUGUCAAUAAGCAAUUUGAAGUUAUUGAAAACUUGAAAAGGAAUUUAUCUGAUAAACACUGUAAAUUUGAUGCUGAAUGCCAAUUACUUAUGAAAGGCUGAGAUAGGUUUUUGCCAGUGCUGGGAAUUGUAGUUCUGUGAGGGAUUCUCCUAACAACUCUCAACACCCUCAACAAACUACAAUUCCCAUGAUUUUUUGGGGGAAGCCAUGGCUGCUGAAGUGGUAUGAGAGUGUUUUGACUGUGUGGUGUGGAUUUGCACUUGUGCAGUAGAACUUCUCCUUCCCUGUGCACCCACUUAGUCUGUUAUGGGGGUUCCAGCUUCAGGGAGGAUGCGGGAGGAGAGGGGAGAGUUCUGUUGUGCAGGAGUAAAUUAUUGCGCUAAUUGAAUGAGUGCAUUGGAUACCAUCCAAAACCUGCUGAUACACAAACUUUUAUAUAGAUCAGUGAUUGGGAACAUGUGACCCUCCAGAUGUUGGACCUCAAUUCCCAUAAUCCCAGACGGUAGGCUUUGCUGGCCGGAGCUGAUGGAAGCUGGAAAUCCAACAACGUCUGCAGGGCCACAGAUUUCCUAAUCCCAAAGACAGAUCGCAUGGUCACAAGGGCAUUCUCGGAAGUGUUCCAUAAUGGUUACUUGGUGGCCUCUGAUUUCAAAUCAGUAUGUGUUUUUAUUCUAUACAGGUAACUAUUCUAUACUAUUUUAUUCUACACAAGUAACUCACAUCUUAUGCUUAUUUUACUUAGGGUGGUACUUAGAGUAGACACAGUGAAGUUAGUGGACAGCAUUUAAAUGAGAUAAAUAAAGGCCUGGCUGCCAAUCUCUUCCCAAACCAGUUCCAUCCAGCACCUGUCUUGACAAGCUAAAUACAGGAGAGGCUAGACUAGGGUUACCAUAUUUCAAAAAGUGAAAAUCCAGACACAACAGUUCAGCUUUAUUUUGUUUUGCCCAAAGAAGAAGAAGAAGAAGAAGAAGAAGAAGAAGAAGAGUUUGGAUUUGAUAUCCCGCUUUAUCACUACCCUAAGGAGUCUCAAAGCAGCUAACAAUCUUCUUUCCCUUCCUCCCCCACAACAAACACUCUGUGAAGUGAGUGAGACUGAGAGACUUCAGAGAAGUGUGACUACCCCUAAGGUCACCCAGCAGCUGCAUGUGGAGGAGCGGAGACGCGAACCCGGUUCACCAGAUUACGAGUCCACCGCUCUUAACCAUUACACCACGCUGGCUCCGUUGAACUCAUGUUCUUGAACUAUUUUUAAGUAAAUUCACCAAAAUCUAGGCUUCCAACAUGGGCUGUCAUACAUCCGGAUUUUCCCGGACAUCUCAGCGAUUUCCACCCGGACAUUGUUACUGACUGCCGUAUUCCAGGAGUGUUCAGGAAAUUUCAGACGUAUGGCAACCCUACUAGACUGAAUCCUGCCAUUGUGAUGUCUGAACUGUGCCACUGAGUCCUGGCACAAGGCUCAAUGUUAGCCACUAUUCAUUUGAGUUUAUAACGAGAAAAUUGAAGCCGCUAACUACAAAAUUAAUACCUAUUAUUCAUCACUCGAUAAGUAUGUGUGUUUAGAUCUGCCAAACCUAAUAAUUUUCCCACAAUAAACACAGUUAUUGAGCACUCUGCAGGUACAUGCAGAAUGUAUAAUCCUUUGCAAUAGGACACUCUUGCAUGCUGGAACCUUUAGUAUAAUACAGUGCAUAUUAAUAGCUGUUCUAUUUACAAGACAGAACAAUAGCAUUGUAGGGUGGCCCUACAGAAAUGUAGUCAAAGUGAUAUUAAAAUGAACAGGGAGAUUACAAAAAGGAACAGAUGCCUUUUAGUCUGAAACUGAAAGCUUCAUGGAAUCAAGGUCUCAGCCUCUACAUCCUUUGUAGAUGCAGCAAACAUUAUAACUAACGGUGACUCAGUCAAGUCUGUAUGUGGGAGAACCAGACAGAUCUGAAUCACCAGUUUCUCUAUCUCUGAAUCACAAUUAGUGUCAUGUAAAAGCCACAGUUCUCGGGAUUGCAUAAACUCAGGCAAGAUGAUGAGAAACCAUGCAAUUACAAACUGGUUUGCAACAAAAUUCACUUUGAACUGAGGGAUGUCAGCAUGUUUAGACAGGAAAUUUAGCACAUUAUUGAAUUCCAAAUAAUUCCAUUUGUAUAGCAAGCUCUAAUUUCACCCGAGUCUUCCAACUAGAUCUGUGGAUUUCACACAAACUGCAAUCUUUAAAAAGCUGCAGAGUAGCAGAUGCAGAUUUUAAUUAUAUAAUACUGUAUGCCUGUUGUUGAAAAAGAUUUUAGGUGAGCUUUAACAAAUAAGAGAUACAGAAAGUAGUGCGAUAAGAAUGUUAAAAAUGCCCAAACAUAUUUCUCUCUUUCUAGAAUGCAUUUUUUAAAACUGUACUAUCAUCAAAUUGAUGUCAUACUCAACAUUUCCCUUUGAGCUCUUGAUGCACUGAUUGAUGCAUGCAAAUAAAGUAUUUUAUGGC